UACAGAGGUCUCAAGCGUUGUUCGGAUUCAUUGGGCGUAAAGGGUGCGUAGGUGGCGCCGUAAGUGGGGUGUGAAAUUUCGGAGCUUAACUCCGAAACUGCAUUCCAUACUGCGGUGCUUGAGGACUGGAGAGGAGACUGGAAUUUACGGUGUAGCGGUGAAAUGCGUAGAUAUCGUAAGGAAGACCAGUGGCGAAGGCGGGUCUCUGGACAGUUCCUGACGCUGAGGCACGAAAGCGUGGGGAGCAAACAGG
rnacentral:rRNA from 1 species